rnacentral:tRNA from 1 species
GAAGUAAAUAAAAAUGAACUUCUAAUUCAUUAACUUAUAGAAAUUUUACCUAUAUUACUUUU